UCCCUCUCUCUCCCUCUCUAUUUUCUUAAGUUUUCUGAAAGCUGUUUUUCUACGACUAAAGCCUUUCUGUAUUCAUGUGCAGGGGGAGGACGAGGACAAUGUGAUCCAAGCAGCGAUCCAAGCAGCGACUACGCAAAAGUUGGCCACCUCAACCGGAGAUGACGACAGACAAAUUCAGGAUUCUCGCCCGUGGGAUUAGUGCGGGCCGGUGCACGAGACUAAAUUUGUGGAGCUUAUUAAGUGCGUUGGCUACGACUUUGAGACGAUCUUUGAGCUCUUGCUACUUCGGGCUCCAAGGCGGAUCUGCUUCCUCUACAAGUGCACAGGAUGUUCUUGGUGACUAAUGCCAAGACUUAUUUAAAGAGGUUCUUGCUACCGGAAUGACGUCAAUGUUCUCUCCAUCGAUUCACCGUGGCUUAGGAGCGCGACUUUGUCUAGUCCCUCAAAGGUGGAGGUGGCGGAGUGGAAGUAUACGCGACAAAAUGAGAAGCUACAUAGAUUAUACGUGGCAAAUAUUCGUUUGGUGGAGGAGAGGAUGGGAAUGAGCGGAGCUGAGCUCAACAAUGUGUAGCUGCUGGCUGGCCUCUGCUAAUCAUUGUCAUUGUUGGUGGUGAUCCAUAUUCUCAAUCGGCUAUGCUGGAAGCGAGCACAAGACGAGCGAGCUAUAGGCUAUGGAGUUUAUAAUCUGGGCCAGCGCUAGUUAUCAGGAUCGAUUCGUCUUCACCAUGUAUUCUAGUGGAUUCUAUGCGGAGGAGCAUUAUGCAAGUCGCGGUAAAGCUUGUGCUGGACAGAAUUUGUUUGGCAUUUGGCUUGUCAGAAUCAACUCUGGAUCUUUACGAUGGAUUGUCACAGAACAGUGAACGCAAACUCGUUGUUGAUCCAUUCUCCAGCAAAAUAGAAUUGAGUUGUCAACGCGAGCACCAACGAAAGAAUACUUGCGUCGUUUCUUGAUCACUGCUGAGCGAAUCACGAGCAUUUCCACAGAAUCUUUAGUACCAAUCUACGGAGAUUUUAGUCACAAUCAGCUGUGCGAUGGUUCGAUCAUAGAGGACGUCCACUUAACUGGCAAGGCAGUCCACUUGCGAACAGGGUUCCGUGGCAUGACUUUCCGGUUUAGAUUUCGAGGUGCCAUAUCUUUGUUACUAAAAACUUCCAGGUACUGUAUGAUCUGCGACAGAGAUUGUAAAGCUCGGUCAUAUUCGCCAGGAAUUUAUAAAAAAAAAGUGUGCUCAAGC